CUCUCGGCUGGCGCCCGGCGGGGCUCCGGGGCUCCGGGGCUCCGGGGCUCCUCUCCCGCCGCCCGGCUCCCCUCGGCCCACGGCAGGGCCCCGGUGUCCUGGGCUGGCAGCGAAGCUCGGAGCUCUGGGCGUGCGGCGGCUGCGGUGGCUCCUGGGCUCCUCCGUCCAACCCGGGCCGCGGAGCCUCUACGCGCACCCCAUCCCCCUCCCGGCUGCGGAGUCUGGCGGCGGCGGGGACUGCUCGGGACCCGGACCCCCGGCGCCUUUCGUCCCCUGUCCCCAUUGUGACCUGUCUCUUGGCCCCGGAGCCCUCCCGCCCCACCCGCGCCGGGGUCUCCAGCGCGAAGGGCUCAGUCUCUGGUGUCCCCGGCCUGGGGCUGGCAAGCUGGGUUAGGAGCUAUGACCUUGGGGCAAAUAGGGAUACGAUCCUAGAGGCGCAGGGGAGCGCGCAGCAUGAGUGCUGAGAGGCACGCGCCCUCUGCUGCACGGCCGUGGAAUAAAACGAGACAACGGCCCCACAGUCCCCUGCCCGCAGCCCACGCUCGGGCGAGCCUGGAGGAUUGCAUUUCCUCGUAGGCUGGCAGAGCCUUACAUGAAGCGCUCAUCUUCUCCUACUUUCCUCCUCUUUAAAAAAUUAACGUGGGUGAGGAGACGUCCUAGUUGAGUACAUAUUGAUUUGAAAUAACCAAAACUUUUAACAAAUCACUUUUCUCAGAAGAAUCCAGUAAGAGAAAGAUAAUUUCUUCCAAAGACAUGAGACGUUCCCUGGCUGGCCAAGAAAAAUUGGCAUCUGGCAUACCUAGGAAUCAUUCAAAAUAGUUUAAUAGGAAGGACAUUUUGAGGCCAGCCAGCAUUAUGACAUUUGUGGGUCCUACGGCAUUUCACCUUGGAAACAUUUUCCUGGGCAUCUAAAAGUAUUGUGGACCUGAGACACUGUGCUUACAGGGCCUACUGGUUUUCACUGUAUGAGACCGAGAAUGGAUUAUGGCAGUUCCUCUUACCUCCGCUGCAUACUUGACUCCAUCCACGGUGUGCUCAGAGCCAUGAUCAUCCGAAGAGCCCCAGUGAAGAUGAAACUGGCGAAGUCGGUAGGGUCCAGGGAGAGGACCCCCUCUCAGCACUGUGAUUCAGAUAAGCUUGGUCAACAGUGAAUUCAUGCUUCUUUUACAGAGCUCUACUUUAACCAAGUGCUCUUAGAGCCAAGGCUUAAUGGACAAAAUGUGGUCAGUUUGCUGGGUGGAUGGUGCCACUCCCAGGACACUGGACUCCUCACAAAAUGAAGUCUGGGGAUAUGUCAAGAUAAAUGAUUGUUCUUUUCUGUCUUUCUUAUUUUGUUUGCUUGUUUCAUUAUUAUUGAAACAUCAUUUUAACAUUUAGGAAAGCAAAAUUAAAACAACAGAUAGACAAUGAGGAUGCAUACACCCAAAGAACAAGUCAGUAGUGUGGUGCAGUGGGAAGAACUGGACAGUUGAGAACCAGGUGGAGGUAGGUUUCCAAUGCUGGCUUCACCCCUUGCUAGUUCUGUGGUCUCAGGCAAGUUGCUAAACUUCUCUGAACCCACUUUCACAUCUCUAAGAAGGUGAUAAUAAUACCAAACUUUCAGAGCUGCUGUGAAGAUUAACUGAGAUUAAGCACCUUAAAGUGCUCAUCAUAGUGCCUGCAUGAUGAUCACUGAGCAGAUGUGAAUUCCUUCUCCACGUGUUGCUUCCAACUACACUUUUCUUCAAGACAACGAGCAAAAACUUUCAUCUACGUCUAAUUUAGACUGUGUCUAUUCAAAUGAGAUGAAAUGGAAAAUUCAGAAAUUUCCCAGAAAACCAAUCAAUGUGGAUGAUUAAACUAGAUAAUUCUCAGCAGCAUUAAUUUGGGCUUGUUGAUAAACAUCUCAACCCAUUGCAGAGUGAUUUAGAGGUUCAAAUGUCUUCCAAAGUAUAUUGGAAACUAUGCAGAAACCCUAAGAUCAAGAUUUGGCAAUAUAAGCUAGAUCAAAAUAGAAUUCAGAGCAUAGCUAUUUUAGAAGAGGUUGCCCACACUAAGUGGCCCAGGGAAAGCCAUAAAUAUAGACCUCAAACAAUGAGGCUAGGCCUAUAUGAGUUUGUUCAGGUAGAAAUGGAGUGGUUCAAUUCAUUGCAUUUUUCCUGUCCAACCACUCAGAACAGUUAUUAUAGGGACAUGUGAGUCCAAUUUAUUAGAAGAAACUAUAUGAAAUUGACAAUAUUCAACUAUUUUUGCACACAAAAAUGGCAUUUUCAUAUGGUUCAACCUAAUAGAUAUGUUUAAUUUUGUUAUGUUGCUUUCAAAAUGGUACUUGAUAUAUAAGGAGAAGGGGAAAAAAGGAAACAAUAGCAAUACGAAACCACUGUUUAAGAAAAUUUAAAUUUCUGUAACUUGGAACCUCCUGGUAGGUAGGAAUUAUGAAUAUCAUUCUUCAUUACAAAAUCAUUAAGAAUGUUCAUUUAUGUAUAUCAAUAAAUAUAACUUUAUUAGAGAUGGGGCUAUAAGGAAUUAUUUUGCUGUAUAUCAAGCACCAAAAUAUUAAAGGAAGAUUCUUUCUUACCUCAUUUAUCGUGAAAUAAAGUAUUUC
rnacentral:lncRNA from 1 species